AUUGAACGCUGGCGGCAGGCCUAACACAUGCAAGUCGAGCGAGCGGCGGACGGGUGAGGAAUGCCUGAGACUCGCCCAGUCGAGGGGGAUAACAGGAGGAAACGACUGAUAAUACCUCAUACGUCUGGAUUGCUCAGGGGGGAUUAGCUAGUUGGUGAGGUAGUGGCUCACCAAGGAGACGAUCCAUAGCGGGUCUGAGAGGAUGAUCAGCCACACUGGAACUGAGACACGGUCCAGACUCCUACGCGAGGCAGCAGUGGGGAAUAUUGCACAAUGGGGGAAACCCUGAUGCAGCCAUGCCGCGUGUGUGAAGAAGGCCUUCGGGUUGUAAAACUCUUUCAGCGAGGAGGCGUUACUCGCAGAAGAAGCACCGGCUAACUCCGUGCCAGCAGCCGCGGUAAUAC
rnacentral:rRNA from 1 species